rnacentral:rRNA from 1 species
UACGAAGGGGGCUAGCGUUGCUCGGAAUCACUGGGCGUAAAGGGUGCGUAGGCGGGGUUUUAAGUCAGGGGGGAAAUCCUGGAGCUCAACUCCAGAACUGCCUUUGAUACUGAAGAUCUUGAGUCCGGGAGAGGUGAGUGGAACUGCGAGUGUAGAGGUGAAAUUCGUAGAUAUUCGCAAGAACACCAGUGGCGAAGGCGGCUCACUGGCCCGGUACUGACGCUGAGGCACGAAAGCGUGGGGAGCAAACAGG